rnacentral:rRNA from 1 species
GAGUUUUGAUCCUGGCUCAGGAUGAACGCUAGCUACAGGCUUAACACAUGCAAGUCGAGGGGAAACGGACAUCGAAAGACUUGCUUUUGUAUGGGCGUCGACCGGCGCACGGGUGAGUAACGCGUAUCCAACCUGCCCACCACUUGGGGAUAACCUUGCGAAAGUAAGACUAAUACCCAAUGAUAUCUCUAGAAGACAUCUGAAAGAGAUUAAAGAUUUAUCGGUGAUGGAUGGGGAUGCGUCUGAUUAGCUUGUUGGCGGGGUAACGGCCCACCAAGGCAACGAUCAGUAGGGGUUCUGAGAGGAAGGUCCCCCACAUUGGAACUGAGACACGGUCCAAACUCCUACGGGAGGCAGCA